rnacentral:rRNA from 1 species
CCUACGGGUGGCAGCAGUGAGGAAUAUUUGUCAAUGGACGCAAGUCUGAACCAGCCAUGCCGCGUGCAGGAAGACGGCUCUAUGAGUUGUAAACUGCUUUUGUACGAGGGUAAACGCAGAUACGCGUAUCUUUCUGAAAGUAUCGUACGGAUAAGGAUCGGCUAACUCUGUGCCAGCAGCCGCGGUAAUACGGAGGAUUCAAGCGUUAUCCGGAUUUAUUGGGUUUAAAGGGGGAGUAGGCGGUCGGAUAAGUUAGAGGUGAAAUCCCGAGGCGCAACUUCGGAAUUGCCGCUGAUACUGUUCGGCUAGAGAGUAGUUGCGGUAGGCGGAAUGUAUGGUGUAGCGGUGAAAUGCUUAGAGAUCAUACAGAACACCGAUUGCGAAGGCAGCUUACCAAGCUACUUCUGACGUUGAGGCACGAAAGCGUGGGGAGCAAACAGGAUUAGAUACCCGGGUAGUC